GUAUAAAAAAAAUCAUUAAGAUCCACACUCCAGUUUAGAAGGUGGCAGUAAUGCUCCCAUAAGGUGUUGCUAGCCGCCACACAGAAGAAGAAGAAGAAGAAGAAGCAGAAGAAGCAGAAGAAGAAGAAGUUUCUUUGGAGUCUCAUAUCAUCCCCUGGUGGCCAUAUAGGUUACUGAGCUGAUGAUGGCGAACUGGAAAUAUCGGACAAAGCUUUGUGAAAUUACUUCAACCUUUCACACUUUCUGUCAACAUUCUACAUUAGCACAACCGUUGUGGAUUUCCACAUCACGAGGCAAGCUGUAUCGCCGGGCUCUACUAUGUGUAUCUUUUUCUGUAAACCCAGAACACUGAACAAAUGAAAUGGCACAUCCUCAAUCUUUAUAGUCUCCCCACACAGGAAGACGAGAAUUUCACCAUGAGUUCAGACAAGGGUGACCAGGCUGAGCUGGAAGAGAAGACGAGGCUCAUCAACCAGGUUUUGGAGCUUCAGCACACUUUAGAAGGAAUCAUAACCACACAGAAACAGAAACACACGCACACAAACAACAGAAUCCUGUUUUGAGUCAAAUUGUCCAUCUACCAAACACUAGCAAUUACUUGACCAAAGUUUUCAUCUUAAUAUCCCUAUAAGUGGUAUUGACAUCAAAAUAAAAAAUUCUUCUGCAAGACAUAAAAGACUAGUAACACCCAGACUGGUGAGAUGGCAGAUUGAACCAUGAGUACAUCAAGUCAAUCUGUUACUGAUGUUGUCUCAUGUGAUAAUUUUCCACUCCAAAUCACUUUCACUGUCAUGAUCUCUUUACUUCAUCCAGCCGUCAGCUUUCUCUUUAGGGUUUGUUGUAACCAGAGCAAUGACCGAGGCUGAACAAAAACUUCCCCUGACCAUCUGCAGAUAACGGAGAGGUCACUUGGUUUGGUAGAGAAAUCUCGUUUUCCUUCUUUCUUUAAAAUUGAUAGAUGUACAUGAAACAAACACGUACUAUUACACAUAAGCAGAAAACACAGCAACUACAAAUUCACAACCAUCUUUAAAUGAGCUCUGAUUACAUCAACAGCAUUGUACUGAAGCAAAAACAAUCUUCAAUCUUCAAAUGUGACACACCGCCUUUAUCUAGGCAACGGAACACAUUUGUGGUCAUGUGACCAUUAUGUUUUCAAGCCCCUCCCAUUCCCACCUUGCCAUGAAGGUGAAGUUGGUGCUGGUGCUGUGGAAAGUAUGUUUUUUCACAAAAAUUAGUUUUGUAGUUCUGUAAAAGUACAGUUUCUUGCUUUGAACUUAAUCAACUGUUGUGUCAAAACAAAUUGAAUCAGGUAGAAAAACUUAUAUCAUACAUGUUUGUGAUCUUCCAACCUAUAAAACCAUGUGUUUGAUGCUAUCUGAAGAUUAGCCUGAAUUGCUAAAACGGUGGCUGUGGGGUAAAGUGAGACAAAUGCCUCACUUUUGUGAACUCAAACACUUCACCCAUACCUGCUAUCAUCAUAGUGGUGAGUGAACUUUCAUUUUUUUGUGAACUAUCCCUGCAAGCAGAAUUACAUGUUAUUUGGUUGAUCAGUCAUCAAUAACAGCAUAUCAACUUUUUGAUGUGUCUUUUUCUUAGACCUCUCUUCCCGGGUGGAUGCUGUCAAAGAGGAAAACCUGAAAACCCUAAGGGCAGACAUAAGGAGAACCUUAUGUCUGCCUCCAGUGCCUUCCAGACCAGUGAGACCAAGAGCAAAAUGAAAAUAAGGAGAAAUUCCAAACCUGAACCCAGCACCUAAUAGACUGGAUGACUGGACUCUGAUGUCAACAUUACAGACUCUUAGAGCUUAAUCCUAAAACAUGUCAAAUAUCUUAUACUACAGGUGGAGGCUUUUGCUGUCACUUUCAUAUGUGCAGAAGUUGGUGAUGAAUUGGAUACAAAAAUUAUAUAACCGGAGCCUGAUUUUUAAUUCAGUUAGGGAAAAUCAGUUUGAUAAGAUUAAGAUUAAGAUCCAUUUAUUCAUCCCAAACACAUGCACAGACAUGCAAAGGCACACUCAUCUAGGUAGGGAAAUUUAAUCUCUGCUUUUUACCCAUUUGGUGCAGGACACACAGAGCAGUGAGCGACCAUGUACGGCGCUCGGGGAGCAGAUGUUGGGGGAGUAAGGUGCCUUGCUCAGGGGCACUAGACAGGGUAGGGAGACUCUUGGAUUUUUGGACAGAUCAAUCCAGGUUCGUCUUUUGUUGUCUCUCCGUGGAGUUGAACCAGAGACGAACCAGAGACCUUCUCUGCCCAUAGUCCAAGUUUCUGCCACUAGACCACCGCCUCUCCACAAAAAACAUUAACCCAUUCAGAAUUUGGCAUUAACAUCUAUCCUGAGAGAUCUGAUCACAAGUAGAUGUUGGUGCAGUUAAUGACGCAAAUCAGCAACAAAAAAUCAAUACAAUAGUAAGCCCUUGGUUACUUACAGUGACUUCACUCAUCAAUCGCUCUAAUCUGAAAUAAAUAUGAAGGAAACUGAUAAGCCAUUUGAUCAGACAUUCCUUUGCCCACAGAUAUCUGUGAUUCAGCCUCUGAACAACCGCACUCACACCUGCCACCCUCUUUGGAGAUAAAGUGUUCAUGUUUAAACUUCCCCUUCCUUGGUUUACCUUGUUUCCAGGUGGGAAGCUGUUGAGAGAUCAUGUUAUUGACACUGCAUAUCCCCACUGUGUAACAAAAAAUCUCCCUUUCCUUCAGUUUUUUUGGGUCAGUAUUGCUGUUAAAGCCUGUAAAGCCUAAAGGCCCAUUUGUCAGCACAAGUUCAGUCUGCUUCUUGUAGGUUGCACUGCAUUUGUAUAUCAGUAACUUUGGUUGUUGUGUUACUCAUUUUAAAUUACUUUGUUUUAAUAAAGUGAGGAUUGUC